rnacentral:rRNA from 1 species
GACGUCAAGUCAUCAUGCCCCUUAUGACCUGGGCUACACACGUGCUACAAUGGGCAGUACAACGAGAAGCAAACCCGCGAGGGUAAGCGGAUCUCUUAAAGCUGCUCUCAGUUCGGACUGCAGGCUGCAACUCGCCUGCACGAAGCUGGAAUCGCUAGUAAUCGCGGAUCAGCACGCCGCGGUGAAUACGUU